AGCGAAGAUAUAAUCAAAAGAAAAUCGAGGGAUGAGGAACACAUACCUUGUUAAGAUAUGAAGAGUCGGAGGAGAGGAUGAUUUCGAAUUUGAAGGUGACGGAAGAGAUCGCUCGAAAGAGGAGAGAUCGCAAUUGAGGAGAGGCUUAGAGGAGACGAUGUCCGCAACAACAACACCGAAUCGUCGUCAACGCUUCCGAUUUGGUGCCUUCGGCGUCGAGAGAGAUCGAGAAAAGAAAGAAAUGAGACAAACGAGAGAGAGAGAGAGA
rnacentral:lncRNA from 1 species